rnacentral:rRNA from 1 species
AGAACGAACGCUGGCGGCAGGCUUAACACAUGCAAGUCGAACGGUUGUAGCAAUACAGCAGUGGCAGACGGGUGAGUAACACGUGGGAACCUUCCUAGGGGUACGGAAUAACUCAGGGAAACUUGAGCUAAUACCGUAUACGUCCGUGAGGAGAAAGAUUUAUCGCCCCUAGACGGGCCCGCGUAGGAUUAGGUAGUUGGUGAGGUAACGGCUCACCAAGCCUACGAUCCUUAGCUGAUCUGAGAGGAUGAUCAGCCACACUGGGACUGAGACACGGCCCAGACUCCUACGGGAGGCAGCAGUGGGGAAUCUUGGACAAUGGGCGCAAGCCUGAUCCAGCCAUGCCGCGUGAGUGAAGAAGGCCUUCGGGUUGUAAAGCUCUUUUACCAGGGACGAUAAUGACGGUACCUGGAGAAUAAGCCCGCAAACGUUCGUGCCAGCAGCCGC